rnacentral:rRNA from 1 species
ACGGGGCGCAGCAGGCGCGAAAACUUUACAAUGCGGGAAACCGCGAUAAGGGGAUACCGAGUGCCAGUAUAUUAUGUUGGCUGUCCACAUGUGUAAACGGCAUGUGUUAGCAAGGGCCGGGCAAGACCGGUGCCAGCCGCCGCGGUAACACCGGCGGCCCGAGUGGUAAUCACUUUUAUUGGGUCUAAAGGGUCCGUAGCCGGUUUGAUCAGUUCUUCGGGAAAUCUGACAGCUCAACUGUUAGGCUUCCGGGGAAUACUAUCAGACUUGGGACCGGGAGAGGUAAGAGGUACUACAGGGGUAGGAGUGAAAUCUUGUAAUCCCUGUGGGACCACCAGUGGCGAAGGCGUCUUACCAGAACGGGUCCGACGGUGAGGGACGAAAGCUGGGGGCACGAACCGGAUUAGAUACCCGGAUAGUCCCAGCCGUAAGCGAUGUUCGCUAGGUGUCAGGGACGGUGCGACCGUUUCUGGUGCCGUAGGGAAGCCGUGAAGCGAACCACCUGGGAAGUACGGCGGCAAGGCUGAAAAUUAAAGGAAUUGGCGGGGGAGCAC